rnacentral:tRNA from 1 species
AGGAUAAUAGUUUUAAAAAAAACAUUUAAUUUGCACUUAAAAAAUAUAAGUAAUUAUUUAUCUU